rnacentral:rRNA from 1 species
CAUGUCCUUUUGAGAAUAAUUUAAGGUCUGAUCUGCUCAAUGAAAUUUAAAUUGCCGCAGUAUUUUGACUGUGCAAAGGUAGCAUAAUAAUUAGUUUUUUGAUUAAGAACUGGUAUGAAUGAUUGGACAAGAAAAUUACUGUCUCUUUUUUAAUUUUUAUUGAAUUUUAUUUUUAAGUGAAAAAGCUUAAAUUUUUAUAAAAGACGAGAAGACCCUAUAGAGUUUAAUAUUUUUGAUAAUUUAAAGAUAGAAUUUUUUUUUAUUAAAAUUUAUUUAGUUGGGGUGAUUUGAAGAUAAAAUAAAUUCUUUAAUUAAAAAAUUAGUGAUUUCUAAAAUGAUAUUCUAUUAUUUAUAAGUAUAAAAUAAAUUACCUUAGGGAUAACAGCGUAAUUUUUCUUUAAAGUUCUUAUUAAAAGAAAAGUUUGCGACCUCGAUGUUGGAUUAAAAUUAAUUCUUGGUGCAAUAACUUAGGAAUUGGGUCUGUUCGACCUUUAAAAUUUUACAUGAUCUGAGUUUAAACCGGUGUAAACCAGGUUGGAUUCUAUCUUUAAAUAGAUAAUAUAUUUUAGUACGAAAGGACCAAAUAUUUAUUAAAUUAAUUG